GGGGGAAAGAUUUAUCGGAAUUGGAUGAGCCCGCGUUGGAUUAGCUAGUUGGUGGGGUAAAGGCCUACCAAGGCGACGAUCCAUAGCUGGUCUGAGAGGAUGAUCAGCCACAUUGGGACUGAGACACGGCCCAAACUCCUACGGGAGGCAGCAGUGGGGAAUAUUGGACAAUGGGCGCAAGCCUGAUCCAGCCAUGCCGCGUGAGUGAUGAAGGUCUUAGGAUUGUAAAGCUCUUUCACCGGAGAAGAUAAUGACGGUAUCCGGAGAAGAAGCCCCGGCUAACUUCGUGCCAGCAGCCGCGGUAAUACGAAGGGGGCUAGCGUUGUUCGGAUUUACUGGGCGUAAAGCGCACGUAGGCGGACUUUUCAGUCAGGGGUGAAAUCCCGGGGCUCAACCCCGGAACUGCCUUUGAUACUGGAAAUCUUGAGUACGAAAGAGGUGAGUGGAAUUGCGAGUGUAGAGGUGAAAU
rnacentral:rRNA from 1 species